rnacentral:ncRNA from 2 species
ACGUGCUCCGGGGUCGGUGAGAAUCCGAACCGGCGGUGAUAGUCCGCGACCCGCUGCAUCCGUGUUCGAGAGAACGCCGCAGCGGUUGAUUCGGUGAAAUUCCGGAACCGACGGUGAUGCGACGCGAAAGUGUCGUCAGUCCGGAUGGGAGGCAGCACAG